rnacentral:rRNA from 1 species
AACGAACGCUGGCGGCAUGCCUAACACAUGCAAGUCGAACGAGACCUUCGGGUCUAGUGGCGCACGGGUGCGUAACGCGUGGGAACCUGCCCCUAGGUUCGGAAUAACUCCCCGAAAGGGGUGCUAAUACCGGAUAAUGUCUUCGGACCAAAGAUUUAUCGCCUUUGGAUGGGCCCGCGUUGGAUUAGCUAGUUGGUAGGGUAAAAGCCUACCAAGGCGACGAUCCAUAGCUGGUCUGAGAGGAUGAUCAGCCACACUGGGACUGAGACACGGCCCAGACUCCUACGGGAGGCAGCAGUGGGGAAUAUUGGACAAUGGGCGAAAGCCUGAUCCAGCAAUGCCGCGUGAGUGAUGAAGGCCUUAGGGUUGUAAAGCUCUUUUACCCGGGAUGAUAAUGACAAUACCGGGAGAAUAAGCGCCGGCUAACUCCGUG